GCCUUGCUGAAUUAUUCACCCUUGUCUUUUGCGUACUUCUUGUUUCCUUGGUGGGUUCGCCCACCACUAGGACAAACAUAAACCUUUUGUAAUUGCAAUCAGCGUCAGUAACAAAUUAAUAAUUACAACUUUCAACAACGGAUCUCUUGGUUCUGGCAUCGAUGAAGAACGCAGCGAAAUGCGAUAAGUAGUGUGAAUUGCAGAAUUCAGUGAAUCAUCGAAUCUUUGAACGCACAUUGCGCCCUUUGGUAUUCCAAAGGGCAUGCCUGUUCGAGCGUCAUUUGUACCCUCAAGCUUUGCUUGGUGUUGGGGCGUUCUUGUCUCUAGCUUUGCUGGAGACUCGCCUUAAAGUAAUUGGCAGCCGGCCUACUGGUUUCGGAGCGCAGCACAAGUCGCACUCUCUAUCAGCAAAGGUCUAGCAUCCAUUAAGCCUUUUUUUCAACUUUUGACCUCGGAUCAGGUAGGGAUACCCGCUGAACUUAAGCAUA
rnacentral:rRNA from 1 species